rnacentral:rRNA from 1 species
UAGGGAAUCUUCCGCAAUGGACGAAAGUCUGACGGAGCAACGCCGCGUGAGUGAAGAAGGAUUUCGGUUCGUAAAACUCUGUUGUUAGGGAAGAAAAAAUGUAUAGUAACUAUAUACAAAAGAGACGGUACCUAACCAGAAAGCCACGGCUAACUACGUGCCAGCAGCCGCGGUAAUACGUAGGUGGCAAGCGUUGUCCGGAAUUAUUGGGCGUAAAGCGCGCGCAGGUGGUUUAGAAAGUCUGAUGUGAAAGCCCACGGCUCAACCGUGGAGGGUCAUUGGAAACUAAUAAACUUGAGUGCAGGAGAGAAAAGUGGAAUUCCUAGUGUAGCGGUGAAAUGCGUAGAGAUUAGGAGGAACACCGGUGGCGAAGGCGACUUGCUGGACUUCAACUGACGCUGAGGAACGAAAGCGUGGGUAGCAAACAGG